AGAACAGUAGAAAACCCCAGGCAGAGCUGAAGACAGUGACAGAAGGGAUUAUUGCUUCUGAAGAAGAAAAAAAAAUGAUUACAAAAUCACCUAUUGCACCGUCUUUUACGACUUCAUUGUAGGAGGUGUGAAAGAGGAGGGAAAUUGUGUUGUUUGAUGGAGACACUCAAAUUAACAAAAACUUUGGAAUAUUUCUAGCCAAAAGCCAAUGGGGAACUGAUUCCUGCCAACAACCACUGAACUUGGAAUUAGAUCCAUCAGCAACUGGACCCUCAGAUGCGACCCACGUAUGACACCUUGAUUGCAAUCCUGUGAGAGACCCUCAGGCAGAGCACCUAGUUAAGUCAAACUCAGAUUGCUGACUCCCAGAAACUGUAAGCACUCUCUUGCAUACUUGUCACCAAACCUCCAGGUCAAUCUCAUGUUUAGUCCUGAAGAAAUGGAGUAGAAGAUGAAAUAGAAAAUAAUUAGAUAAUGAAAUGCCAAUAUAGGAAUCGAAUGUCAGCUGCGGUGCUCAGAAGAAUAAGAUUGUGAUAAAUGUUUUGGAGGAAAAUGGAAAGAAGGCUGUGGUUUGAAAUGUCUCAACAAGAUUCCAAUCAUGCAAAACUUGAGGGAAUGAGGAAUAGCAAAGCUUGGCACUUCGGAAGCUUGAUAACAUCACAGCAUGGAAGAAAAGUGGAAGAAAG
rnacentral:lncRNA from 1 species